rnacentral:tRNA from 1 species
GGCUACCUGGCGCAAUGGUAGCGCGUUUGGCUUCGAUUGCCUUAUGUAACCAAAAGGUUGCAGGUUCGAGUCCUGCGGUGGUCA